UGGGGANUCUUCCGCAAUGGACGAAAGUCUGACGGAGCAACGCCGCGUGAGUGAUGACGGCCUUCGGGUUGUAAAGCUCUGUUAAUCGGGACGAAAGGCCUUCUUGCGGAUAGUGAGAAGGAUUGACGGUACCGGAAUAGAAAGCCACGGCUAACUACGUGCCAGCAGCCGCGGUAAUACGUAGGUGGCAAGCGUUGUCCGGAAUUAUUGGGCGUAAAGCGCGCGCAGGCGGAUAGGUCAGUCUGUCUUAAAAGUUCGGGGCUUAACCCCGUGAUGGGAUGGAAACUGCCAAUCUAGAGUAUCGGAGAGGAAAGUGGAAUUCCUAGUGUAGCGGUGAAAUGCGUAGAUAUUAGGAAGAACACCAGUGGCGAAGGCGACUUUCUGGACGAAAACUGACGCUGAGGCGCGAAAGCCAGGGGAGCGAACGGGAUUAGAUACCCCGGUAGUCCUGGCCGUAAACGAUGGGUACUAGGUGUAGGAGGUAUCGACCCCUUCUGUGCCGGAGUUAACGCAAUAAGUACCCCGCCUGGGGAGUACGACCGCAAGGUUG
rnacentral:rRNA from 1 species